GUUUGAUUCUGGCUCAGGACGAACGCUGGCGGCGUGCUUAACACAUGCAAGUCGAACGAAAAUUGAAAAAUUUUAGUGGCGAACGGGUGAGUAACGCGUGAGAAUCUGCCUCAAGGAGGAGGAUAACAGUAGGAAUGCAAGUUCCUUGUGUCGAAAGAUCUGCUAAUACUCCGUAUGCCGAAAGGUGAAAGGAUUGAUUUUCAAUCUGCCUAGAGAAGAGCUCGCGUCUGAUUAGCUAGUUGGUAAGGUAAUGGCUUACCAAGGCGAUGAUCAGUAGCUGGUCUGAGAGGAUGAUCAGCCACAUUGGGACUGAGACACGGCCCAAACUCCUACGGGAGGCAGCAGUGGGGAAUAUUGGACAAUGGGCGAAAGCCUGAUCCAGCAAUGCCGCGUGAGUGAUGAAGGCCUUAGGGUUGUAAAGCUCUUUUGUGCGGGAAGAUAAUGACGGUACCGCAAGAAUAAGCCCCGGCUAACUUCGUGCCAGCAGCCGCGGUAAUACG
rnacentral:rRNA from 1 species